rnacentral:rRNA from 1 species
ACGGAAGGCAGCAGUAGGGAAUCUUCGGCAAUGGGGGCAACCCUGACCGAGCAACGCCGCGUGAGUGAAGAAGGUUUUCGGAUCGUAAAGCUCUGUUGUAAGAGAAGAACGUUGAUGAGAGUGGAAAAUUCAUCAAGUGACGGUAUCUUACCAGAAAGGGACGGCUAACUACGUGCCAGCAGCCGCGGUAAUACGUAGGUCCCGAGCGUUGUCCGGAUUUAUUGGGCGUAAAGCGAGCGCAGGCGGUUUCGUAAGUCUGAAGUUAAAGGCAGUGGCUCAACCAUUGUUCGCUUUGGAAACUGCGAGACUUGAGUGCAGAAGGGGAGAGUGGAAUUCCAUGUGUAGCGGUGAAAUGCGUAGAUAUAUGGAGGAACACCGGUGGCGAAAGCGGCUCUCUGGUCUGUAACUGACGCUGAGGCUCGAAAGCGUGGGGAGCAAACAGGAUUAGAUACCCUGGUA